GGGAAUUUUUCCGCAAUGGGCGAAAGCCUGACGGAGCAAUGCCGCGUGAAGGAUGAAGGCCUAUGGGUUGUAAACUUCUUUUCUCAGAGAAGAAUUUUGACGGUAUCUGAGGAAUAAGCAUCGGCUAACUCUGUGCCAGCAGCCGCGGUAAGACAGAGGAUGCAAGCGUUAUCCGGAAUGAUUGGGCGUAAAGCGUCUGUAGGUGGCUUAAAAAGUCUUCUGUCAAAGAUCAGGGCUUAACCCUGGGCCGGCAGGAGAAACUCUUAGGCUAGAGUUGGUAGGGGCAGAGGGAAUUCCCGGUGGAGCGGUGAAAUGCGUAGAGAUCGGGAGGAACACCAAAGGCGAAAGCACUCUGCUGGGCCAAACUGACACUGAGAGACGAAAGCGAGGGAGCAAAGGGAUUAGAUACC
rnacentral:rRNA from 1 species